CAGUCGCCGCGGUAAUACGAAGGGGGCUAGCGUUGCUCGGAAUGACUGGGCGUAAAGGGCGCGUAGGCGGUGCGGAUAGUCAGAUGUGAAAUUCCUGGGCUUAACCUGGGGGCUGCAUUUGAUACGUCCGCGCUUGAGUGUGGAAGAGGGUCGUGGAAUUCCCAGUGUAGAGGUGAAAUUCGUAGAUAUUGGGAAGAACACCGGUGGCGAAGGCGGCGACCUGGUCCAUAACUGACGCUGAGGCGCGAAAGCGUGGGGAGCAAACAGGAUUAGAUACCCCCGUAGUCCCUGUCUCUUAUAC
rnacentral:rRNA from 1 species